UGAUGCUUGGUGUCUUCGGGAAGACUCUAUCAAGAUUGACAUUCACUGUUUCGCAGCAUCAAUCCGAAUUUGUUGCAGAAGAGGGAGAGAGAGAGAGAGAGACUGUGAGAGGAAAGAAGAAGUGAUCGAUCUGGAUUUAUUGCAGAAGAGGUGUAGAGAGAGAGAGAGGUAUCUGCGUCUGGAAUAGUUGCAGGUUGUAUGCAAAAGGCAAUUUCAAGCUUAUCCAUCACAAUCAGUCUCAGCAAAAGCUUGCUCGGAAGUUCAGGCUCUGUUACUAAUCUGAUCGCUGAGGUAGGAAAAAGAAGAGGAAAGAUCCAAGAUUUUGGUCAAUUUUCGGAUGAGGGUUUGGGUUUGUUUUGGAAGAGGUUCCUGCUGAAAUUUUAAUCGAUUUUGGGAGAAAGCUUUCAACAGAAGAAGAGAUGUGAAUGAAGGUGAUUGCUUUAAGCUUCGGGUUGAAUGGAGAUAAGGGUGAUGAUGGUGUUGCUAUCGAAAAGAGUGGUAGAGGUUAUUGAAUUCUUUUUUCUGAAUAAUUGAUCUGAUUUUGUUUAGAACCUGCAACACAUAUUAGAUAGAUGCAUCAAGCUCAGAUGGCUGUGUGUAAUAUGCAGCUUUCUUUUCAGAAUCUGCAACACAAUUGAUAUCACACCAAAGAUUGUCAAACCAUUCCUGGAUACUUUCCUCUGUUGCAGGAACAAUUUGAGGAUCUUACAGCCCAGGGUUGCGAUCGUCUUGCCCGUGUAGAGAUAGGAAGGGAUUGGUACAAUAGGAAGGGAUCAUCGCCAUUGUUGAAGAUCCACCUCCCAGGAGCAUUGACUUUUGAGGCUUCAAGAAGAACUACAAGUACCUUUUGACGAGACUCACCCUGCAUCUUUCGGAGAUUAUUGUUCAAGCAAGUUGGGAGUCGAGCAACUUGGGAAUACCUAUUUGUUGUUGCUGGCAUAAACAUAUCAUUUAUGUUGAUUCAAUUGUUGGCUCUUGGGUCAGCAAGACCAAGGUGUCUUCCCGGGAUAAAUUUCUUGCACUUAUUAGGAGAAGAUGAACCUGCUUCUGAUGUACUGUUCCGUAUAGCUUUUGACAUGGUCGAUGCUCAGUGGCUUGCUAUGAAUGCAUCCUGCAUGCAGUUUAAUGAGCUCUCCAGAUGACUAACUCAUAGGGCUUUCAAUUCCUUCAAGAUGUUCUGCAAGCAACGCGGACGUGGUUGGAAAGAGAACCAUCUUUAGAAGAUAUCAAGAGUAUAUAAGAUUUACCAACUUAUAGUCUGUUGUACCAGUAGCUUUUUGGUAGUACAAAAAAACAUUAGCACUGUGCUUGGACUCGGAGAAAUUUCAAUGAAUUCAUAGGGAUACCAUGACAACAACGCUUUGCAUAAAACAGUGGGAUAUCUUUUUCAUUGCCUCAUUUCCACUUUGAUAUCCGUUAUGAUUUUA